AAAAAAAAGAAAAAAAUUGGAGAUAAAGAAAACGGGAACCCAAGAAAAGAGAAUGAAAGGAAAAAUUUUCUUAUUACGAGGAGCGGCGCGGGUGAGUGGAAACUACGUUUAAAAUUAAACGAAGGGAUACCUAUACACAGGAUUAAACCGCUGAACAUAAAUUUAAGGGAGAAAUAUUUGAAGUAUCUCCUGCGAGAAAAUAUGGCAACGCGUUUCCAAGAAAACGUACAAGUUCGCUAUGGAAGCUCGCAAGAACCCCAAGCGCAGGACUUAGCGCGUCCUACAUUCUUUGAUGACGGGAUCACCGUCCGUAGAAGCUUAUAGAAAACCCUCGACCAAUACACGUUGGAUGUAGGAGCAACCGCGUACAACAAAUACUCGUCGAUCUUAUACCGAGUCGCUGUACGUCGGUUCAUAAAUGUGGAAAUAGUCUACCGACCAACAACUCGGGGAAUGGGGUGCGGCGGGUUUCGCGACUCGGUCGUACGAUGUCCGUGCGGUGGAAAACACAAGAAAGGAAAGAUAAGGAAUAUGGGCAGCACCCUCCCGAGUUCGGAGCAGAUACUCGAGCAUCCUCGUUUACGGACGUGUAUAAAUAAUGUACGCAGCUUUGGGGACGGCGAAGGUUUGGGCACACGAUGCCCGAACACAGCGGAAGAAGAAAACGUACGAGGGAACGCGUACCGCAGGACUUUUGCAGAAGAGGCGAAGCUCAGGCGAGGCCCGAAUUUCGGGUCGGAAUACCAGACGUCGUACACAUACCCACGCGUCGUCCGAAUCACGCGAAGGAAGGAAGAACGGGAGGAAGGAAGGACGGAAAAGGACGACAUCGGCUCCCAUUUGAUGCCGGAAAUUGAAUCAAUGGGCAUUCAAUAUUCACUUGACAAAGAUUUACGAGCGGAAUUACCCCUACGUAUAUACCACGUAAUUAUAACGAGCGUCUAAUUAUCAAAUUGCACGACGCUCGGAUCCGCUAGCGUCAUUAAAUAUUAUCAAUCACGUUUCCCGGUAUUCUUGAUAUCGCAUAGUUCUUUGAUAUCACAUAGUUACACAUACUUAUACGUUCCACCUACUUGUAGCCACGUCAAACUCGAUUUGUAUUCAUGAGUAGCUGAAGGUCUUCCGACUCCUCUGCCCACAUUAUUCCCAUGCAUGAAUUUUUCAUCCGAAUAAAAAACAAUCAGAAUAAGAAAAUAAAAAAAUAAAACAAACAAACAAACUAUCACAGCGGCGCAAUGUUAAUCCAAAUCUCUCGGACACGGUAGACGCGAGCAUAUAUCUACCUGAAUAAACGUGUAACCGUGAUACGUAUACGGGCGAUUCCUCCGCGCUAUAGGUCUCCUGCAGGUACAUCAACAUUGCCGUGCGCCCAUUAUGCAACGUACAUUUUCACACCAGUACAAACGUGGAAAUUUAUCCGCGAGAAAUUCAUCUUUCCCCCGGAUAAUUGUCCGAUCCGUUGAAACGAAGGCGAAUCGCAACUACCGCCGAGAAGUCACGCGGCCCUGUACCCGCUCGUAUCGAGGGAUGGGACCCGUUACAUUAUAAAGAACAUUCGUCCGCGUCGUUUCCAGCGUAUCAAUCGAUGAGCCGGUUGAGGUGGAGGAGUUUUUUUUUUUGUUUUUUUUCUUUGUCGUAGGACACACGGGGUGGACGGUCGGAAGUUGGUCGGAUACUGGGAUGAAACGCGGUCGCCGUCGCGUAACACGUCCGAGACAAUAAGACGGUUAAUAGAUGCAAUUAAAACGUAUAAUGGGUGACGCCAUUGACGACGCUGAAUACCCUUAAUAUUAUAAAUAACGCGGACGCCUGCUACCUACCGCCUGUUAGUGAAGUUAUAAUGGAAAAUUAAGUAACCAAUGUUCAAGUUCAUACCACCAACGUGCACAGUGAUAAAUGACAUCGUAAGUUGCGCCCUAGACACUACCUUAGUCUAUUCAUUUUGAAUUAAAUUCUAAUUACUUUAUAUAUGAGGCUAUUUCAACUUUUGCUAUUUUCCAAUUCCCGGCUAUAUCCGGUUAUAAGGUAGCUUGUGUAUAUCUAUGUACGGUCGGAUGCGGUAUACUGUACGGUGCACAUGCACCACGAACUUGUAAAUUCCAACGUCUUCCACACUCCGUAGAAUUUUUUAUCUUGAUGCGAAUUUUAACGAACCAAUUCCGUCCGCUAAUAUACGUGAUUCGCGAAAGCGAAAGUAUAUCUCUGUGUUUAGGACUGUAAAAAGAAAGAAGAGAAAAAAAAAUGGUAAUCGCAAUUAAAACGGAUUAACGUAAACUAUGGUAAUUUAACAUCGUAACUCCAACGAACGGAAUAAAAUUCGUUCGUUCACUUUCUAAUUUUCUUCAGAUUUGCGGUAUGAUAUUUUUUACAAUAAUCAUUCACCACACGUUGCAACGGUGAAACAUUUGUAUAUUGUUUUUUCAGUAUUUCCUUUAUUCCAAAUGAAGCCAUGCAAAUUUUCGUUAGAACCCAA